rnacentral:rRNA from 1 species
GAUGAACGCUGGCGGCGUGCCUAAUACAUGCAAGUCGAGCGAACAGACGAGGAGCUUGCUCCUCUGACGUUAGCGGCGGACGGGUGAGUAACAUGUGGAUAACCUACCUAUAAGACUGGGAUAACUUCGGGAAACCGGAGCUAAUACCGGAUAACAUGUUGAACCGCAUGGUUCAACAGUGAAAGACGGUCUUGCUGUCACUUAUAGAUGGAUCCGCGCCGCAUUAGCUAGUUGGUAAGGUAACGGCCUACCAAGGCAACGAUGCGUAGCCGACCUAAGAGGGUGAUCGGCCACACUGGAACUGAGACACGGUCCAGACUCCUACGGGAGGCAGCAGUAGGGAAUCGUCCGCAAUGGGCGAAAGCCUGACGGAGCAACGCCGCGUGAGUGAAGAAGGUCUUCGGAUCGUAAAACUCUGUUAUUAGGGAAGAACAAAUGUGUAAGUAACUAUGCACGUCUUGACGGUACCUAAUCAGAAAGCCACGGCUAACUACGUGCCAGCAGCCGCCGUAA